AGUUGAGACCUCGAACACCUCACCACUGACCCCGCGCAAUUACAUUGGGGUGGACAGUAAUCGUCUCCCAAGCAACCCACGCUGUCGUCUAUAAAAUAAACGGUUCAUCAUGUUGCUGAAGAGAAGAUCAGGAAGAUGGCGUAGCUGGUUAUUGUUCAAACGCAGCUUCUCGACACCGACUAAAUCAUGGAAGGCACUUCUCUCGAUGGUGUGAAUCUGAUUAUCCGAUAGCCAACUGGAAAAUACAGUGUUCCAGAAUCGAGCAGAGUCAUCAGGAUUUCUUUGUACCAAUCCCCGUACCCGAAGUGGUCGGACCAGAGUCUUCCAUUUAACAAUCCGCUGCCGAUGGAAUCCCAUUGAAUCGAUUCGAUUUCUCCCCGUCGAUGAAGGAGAGCAGGAAGACAUCCUCGCGUGUUUUACAAUGAGACUGGUAUGUCGGUUGCUAGCUCACGCCAUGGUAACGUUAACAGGUGUAACGAGCCUCUAGGUGGAACACUGGAAGCUCGUGUAAACGUGGCAGCGCGAUGCAAACGAGGCCAAAACGGUCCCAAUAUAGGUGUAAGUUACCUGACGCGGUGCUGUGCACCUGCCGGGCUAAAGGGAAUCGCAAUCGAGCCUGGCUAGCCCGUCUAACCGGUACUGCGGUGUAAAAUUCUCAACUAUGCACUUAGCACGAGCAACCACUAUCUACAGGGUGUUUCAAACGUGUCGUCGAUGCACGAAUUGAUUAUUCUUGAAAGAAUUCAAUAGUUGAUCUUCGAGGCAGUCUAAAAAAAUUGUAGAAAAAAAGUAAAUCAGUUGACGAAGAAUCGAUGCCUCCUAUUUUCAAAGCAAAGUACGAGAUUUGAAAGUCCUUCCAUGGUAGAUAUUUUCUACCCAAAAAAGCGAGGAAAUAGGUAUGCAUAUCACGUGCCUUGAGAUAAGUGGUAGUUUCCGGAAAAUAUGACCAGCAUCGAUCUCAAUAUUACACUGAACGAAGAAAAAUAGAAAAUAACCCAUCCUGAAUAACCCAUUCUAGGAGGAGAUUCUCAUCGAUUCUCGAUUGGAUUAAUGCAGCAGUUGGCAAAUCGUAGAAAGAGAAAUUGUGUCUGGUUGAAAUUCAACCAGAGUUAACGAUAAUUAGAACGAAGGAGCAUCGUAUCGGGCGAAAGAAGUUAACCAAAAGAGAGGACGGGAAAUUUUUCGAAGAGAAGAAUCUCUCCGGGGUUAAUUACCCCAUUUUACCCCAUCCAUGUCGGUGGAUUACACACGGACAGAGGGUGCACGCGUCGAGUCAGCCAGCGGAUGAUUUCGAGGCAACGAUUACAAAGUAGCCAGCUGCGAAACUCACCCCCUUCGCUCCUCCGUUGAAUGAAGUGGCCGGAAGCAGGAACACGGUCGGCCAAGAGAAAAGGCCGGGAUAAACUGAAUGAGCGGAAAAGAAGACAGCCCCGAGUCGAGGGCCGAGACCUUCGAUAAAAAGGAGCUACAAGGACGAAGGAAAAAAAGAGGAAAGAGAGGGAGGAGAGACAGGAGACUGCAAGGAAUAAAGUUCCCUGUCAAGUUGGGUGUACGGUGUCUCGAGAGACUGCCAGACGAGUUUCCUUCAACCCCUCCCUCGAAUUCUGACGUUCAACCCUCCCGCACCCCUUCGACCAGUUCCACUCUACUAGUUGUUGAUUGUUCCUGGCGUAAUUAUAACUUCGACCGGUCGCUACUUUCUCGGAUAUAAUUAUUAAUUACCGCGACGUCGAGGGGUGAACAGGGAAGGGGUGGUUCGCGACGGAUUCUCCCGUAGGAUCGUCGCGAAACAACGACACGUGAGAUCAAUCGACGACACGAGUACACCCCUGGGUCUUCUAUGACGCUCUUUGUCUUUGUCCUGCGAAUCGAGCCGACAGGAUUCCAGUUUGCUUUCUUCCGUUAGCCUCGAUCGAAAUUUAUGGAAAGUCGAUGCUGCCUCUUGAGAAAGAAGAGAAAGAAUUGGAGAGGCAGGUUUAUUAGGUAUUGACGUUUCCGGCGAGAGGUUCGAAUUGAAUAGAAGAUACUCGAAUACAAAUUGCAUUCUGUCCAAAUAUUCGCAAAAUAUAGAUAAUUUUAUACUUCUUACCGUUUGAUUAAAAUUGGACACCUGGUUUAAUAAAAAGGAUACCGGGUUCGCAGGUUUUCAUUGAAUUUAAUGAAGAUCAAAUUAUCUCCGAAUACGAGCAGGCUCUGAAUAAUACAAAGUACAUCGGAGCUUUGUAGUCCAUUAUCCUUGUAAUCCAUUAUCCAACUGGUAGUUAGCAAAAUUAUGGAUAUGAAACCGCGUGUCUGAUCAAAGUGGAACGAUACAACGUGGUCAACUAACUAUGGUGGUAUAAGAAUAUUAAAGACUUCCUGCUAUUGAAAUUAAUUUUACAAGUUAUCAAACUCGCGAACUCGUUUAAAAUCAAUAAUAAUGAAAUUUCAAUUAGGAAUAAAAUAUAUUCAGCGUUAAAAAACUGAUAAUGAACGUACAAUUAUAAUUAUUCAGAAUACGAUCAUGUUCCACUUGUUAGAAAAUUAAUAUAAUAUUUUUCUUUCUAUGUUACAAAAUAUUAUAAAAGGAAUCCAGAUCGAAUCCACGAAACUGACCCAUCCACAGCAUCCCCAAAUCCUCCCUUUUAUCUUGACCCAUUUCUUUCUCUCGAAUCCACGUUUCCCCCAAAACUGACCAUCGUCAACCACCCUUCUCUUCCAUCAACCACCACAGCUAACUCAAUCCAAAGGAUUAAAAGAAUUUCAUAGGGGGUUGGGGGAUUGACGCAAGAUGCAAAUGCGGAGGAAUUGCUCGCAGUACGGACAGAAUGUGUAACGCAGCAUAUGUUGCGAUACUCUGUGGUCGAAUUUACACACAUACACGUGCAGAGUGGUUCGGUGCACGUAUGGCUACCGACACACUCGUGUCUCCAAGGGAUCCUGGUAUCUGCGCGAACAGUAAGAGCAUCGAUCACACGCCGGGGACAAUAUUGGCAUGAUAAUCGGAAGGGAUUCGGCACGGUUACGUAGUAACACGGGGCCCUGCACGGGAUCGUGGAACGGAUCAGGGGGCUGCAACGCGAUUAUUACACCGAGGGGGUUGCUUCAUAAAUAAUAGUGGUUGGAAAAGCGGGCGCAAUAUGGCUCGUCUUCUGCCAACACGAUUGUAACACUUUGUGGCAUUGGUAGUUCUCUUUAUUUCUAUGGAAUUAUUCCUUCUUCGUGGAUUGAACAGACUUUGUAAAAGGGGGUUGUCUAUUUGAGGGCUCAUAUUUUUUUAAAUGCAGAAAUCGUUACUGUCUGUACUAAUAAUAAUUAAUAUU